UGGCUCAGAACGAACGCUGGCGGCGUGCUUAACACAUGCAAGUCGGAUGCGAACGGCGCUUUCGGGCGUUGAGUAGCAUGGCAGACGGGUGAGGAGCGCGUAUCUGACUGGACUCAGGCUGGGGGAUAGUCCCUCGAAAGGGGGUUGAAUACCGCAUGUGCUCGGUGCUGUGAGGGCAUCGAGGAAAGUUGGCCUCUGCGGGCACGCUGAUGGCCUGAGACAGGGAUGCGUCCUAUUAGCUAGCUGGUGGGGUAAGGGCCUACCAGGGCGACGAUGGGUAGCUGGUCUGAGAGGAUGAUCAGCCACACUGGGACUGCGACACGGCCCAGACUCCUACGGGAGGCAGCAGUGGGGAAUUUUGCGCAAUGGGCGCGAGCCUGACGCAGCAACGCCGCGUGCAUGACGACGCCUUUCGAGGUGUAAAGUGCUGUCGACCGGGACGAAGGGGCGAGGGUGAACAGCUUUCGCGCAUGACGGUACCGGUGGAGGAAGCCCCGGCUAACUCCGUGCCAGCAGCCGCGGUAAGACGGAGGGGGCGAGCGUUGUUCGGAAUUACUGGGCGUAAAGCGCGCGUAGGCGGUGCAGCAAGUGGUGCGUGAAAGCCCUCGGGUUAACCGGGGACGGGCGUGCCAAACUGUUGGAC
rnacentral:rRNA from 1 species